rnacentral:rRNA from 1 species
GACGAACGCUGGCGGCGUGCUUAACACAUGCAAGUCGAACGGGCCUGUCUUCUUUUUUGGGGGUGGGUUGAGUGGCGAACGGGUGAGUAUCACGUGAGUAACCUGCCCUUCGGUCCUGGAUAACCGCUUGAAAGGGCGGCUAAUACGGGGUGGUCCGGUUGGUCCGCAUGGGCUGGUCGGGAUAGAUUCACUGUUUUUGGUGUUUCGGCGGGGGAUGGGCUCGCGGCCUAUCAGCUUGUUGGUGGGGUGAUGGCCUACCAAGGCGGUGACGGGUAGCCGGCCUGAGAGGGUGGGCGGCCACACUGGGACUGGGAUACGGCCCAGACUCCUGCGGGAGGCAGCAGUGGGGGGUAUUGCACAACGGGCGGAAGCCUGAUGCAGCGACGUCGCGUGAGGGAUGGAGGCCUUCGGGUUGUGAACCUCUGUUUCCGGUGGUGAAGGCCCUGUCCGUGUGGUGGGGUUGACGGUAGCCGGGGAUGAAGCGCCGGCUAACUACGUG